rnacentral:lncRNA from 1 species
GUUAAAUACACAUGGUUCAAAGCAGCUGGGGGGGUGGAUUUAGUGCAGGGCACUCCAGAGUCCUCUCUUCAGCUGCCAAGGAGCUGAUCCUGCUGGAAACCACAGCUAGCCAAAAAUGGGAUUGCUUUUCACAUGGAUCAGUUCCUGAGCCACCAGGCUGCCAGGAAUAGUGCAGGGGCAAAGGGCUGGAAGGAGGGCACAGAUAUUUAAGAAAUUGCUUGGGACCUUGUAAUGACAGAUAGUGAGGUCCUCACUUCAUACAGACAGAUAAAUGAGGUCAAGGAGUGGGUUGUUCCUGCCUUUCUCUUGGGACCAGGGAUGUGGUGAUCUUGGAAUGAUGCUGGAGGAGGGAGGUGACUUGUCCCGCAGGCCCUGCCUUUGGGGAAUAUACUGAGAGAGUCUGGGUGGAGCUGAUUUACCCCACCAGACUCCACAGGGACUGUUUUAUUGCCUGUCAAAUGGCUUCCUGCAGAGCAGGGGAAGGCAUGAAGUAAUAAUGAUGCAAUAGCUGGGAAAUAGCACAGCUGCUGAUUUAUCGGGUCGGUAGGAAAUGUUUGACUUCCCCUUUGCCCUGCUGAAGUGCUCUGAUGGUGGCCAAACCUGGGCUAACCAGCCCUGCAAACACCCUGGCAGUGAAUGGAUUCCCUGUUUUGGUCCCAGUGCUCCAGGAGAGGGAACUUCUCCCUCUGUUUCCCCCUUCCCAGAGACCCCCAGGAACCCCCCAAAUACUGGACUGCUCCUCCCCUCUCUGAGGUGAAGAGUGCUCCUCACUGCCUGAGAUGGAGGGCUGUGGGUAUCUCCAAGAGGUGCCUACUUGGAAACCCAGAACUGUUGAAGAAUAAUAUGAGCAUGUCAUUUGAUCAAAAAAGACAGCAAAAAAGGUGGAAAAAACCCCAGAAUUCUGGAUAUCCAGGAGCCUAAUAGCAGUCUGCUUUACUCAGUGAUGGAACCCCAAGCCUUUCCCGUGAUAUCAGUCAGAGAAAUAACGAAAUGCAAUGAUACACCCACAUCCAGGAGGGUUCUUCAGCCAGCUGAGGAUGUCUCCAGAGAGGCCUGCCAACCACCAGAGCUUUGUUUACCUGCCAGAAACCUCCCGUCACUGCCAAGUUGCCCACAAGGAGCUUGGGAGGCUCAGCCUGCCAGUGGUGCCUCGGCACAGUCGCAAAACCUGGCAAAAAAUCUGGCAGCUUUUACAGCAGGACAGCCUGGACAGCUUCAAAAUGCCUUUUUCUGUGACCUCUGGGUGAAUAGAAGCCAUUUGCAUUUCAAGUAAACUUCCAGAAAAUUCCUAUGCUGUUGCUGGAAUAAACCCAUGAAGGAAACCUUUGCCA